rnacentral:rRNA from 1 species
GACGAACGUUGGCGGCGUGCUUAACACAUGCAAGUCGAACGGAAAGGCCCUGCUUUUGUGGGGUGCUCGAGUGGCGAACGGGUGAGUAACACGUGAGUAACCUGCCCUUGACUUUGGGAUAACUUCAGGAAACUGGGGCUAAUACCGGAUAGGAGCUCCUGCUGCAUGGUGGGGGUUGGAAAGUUUCGGCGGUUGGGGAUGGACUCGCGGCUUAUCAGCUUGUUGGUGGGGUAGUGGCUUACCAAGGCUUUGACGGGUAGCCAGCCUGAGAGGGUGACCGGCCACAUUGGGACUGAGAUACGGCCCAGACUCCUACGGGAGGCAGCAGUGGGGAAUAUUGCACAAUGGGCGGAAGCCUGAUGCAGCAACGCCGCGUGCGGGAUGACGGCCUUCGGGUUGUAAACCGCUUUCGCCUGUGACGAAGCGUGAGUGACGGUAAUGGGUAAAGAAGCACCGGCUAACUACGUG